rnacentral:rRNA from 1 species
AGAGUUUGAUCAUGGCUCAGGAUGAACGCUAGCUACAGGCUUAACACAUGCAAGUCGAGGGGAAACGGCAUUAAGUGCUUGCACUUUUUGGACGUCGACCGGCGCACGGGUGAGUAACGCGUAUCCAACCUUCCCAUGACUAAGGGAUAACCUGCCGAAAGGCAGACUAAUACCUUAUGGUCUUCACUGACGGCAUCAGAUGUGAAGUAAAGAUUUAUCGGUUAUGGAUGGGGAUGCGUCUGAUUAGUUAGUUGGCGGGGUAACGGCCCACCAAGGCAACGAUCAGUAGGGGUUCUGAGAGGAAGGUCCCCCACAUUGGAACCUGAGACACGGUCCAAACUCCUACGGGAGGCAGCAGUGAGGAAUAUUGGUCAAUGGGCGAGAGCCUGAACCAGCCAAGUAGCGUGCAGGAUGACGGCCCUAUGGGUUGUAAACUGCUUUUGUAUGGGGAUAAAGUCAAUCACGUGUGAUUGUUUGCAGGUACCAUACGAAUAAGGACCGGCUAAUUCCGUGCCAGCAGCCGCGGUAAUACGGAAGGUCCGGGCGUUAUCCGGAUUUAUUGGGUUUAAAGGGAGCGUAGGCUGGAGAUUAAGUGUGUUGUGAAAUGUAGACGCUCAACGUCUGACUUGCAGCGCAUACUGGUUUCCUUGAGUACGCACAACGUUGGCGGAAUUCGUCGUGUAGCGGUGAAAUGCUUAGAUAUGACGAAGAACUCCGAUUGCGAAGGCAGCUGACGGGAGCGCAACUGACGCUGAAGCUCGAAGGUGCGGGUAUCGAACAGGAUUAGAUACCCUGGUAGUCCGCACAGUAAACGAUGGAUGCCCGCUGUUGGUACCUGGUAUCAGCGGCUAAGCGAAAGCAUUAAGCAUCCCACCUGGGGAGUACGCCGGCAACGGUGAAACUCAAAGGAAUUGACGGGGGCCCGCACAAG